rnacentral:lncRNA from 1 species
AAAACCUGGCAUAGCGGCCAGCCUGGUGGGGUGGUGGCAAGGCAGGAGGGCCAGCUGGCUGCUGAGCUGAAUAGGACUGAUGACUCUGUUUCCCUGGUUGUCCUGUUUGAUGUUAAUCACCAGGCUGAGCAAGCUCUUCAACCAGACACAGCUGGCCCCCAGGGAAAUACGACAAGAGGCCAGGGAGGGUCUAGGUUAUUUGGAGUUAAAGACCUGCAGGACGGGGCAGAGUCAGGGGCAGGGAGUUUGAAGGAGGGGGUCAGAGGGUACAGAGAUGGAAAAAGAUGGUGAUGGAGGUCUCUAGUGAUGGCAGAUGGCAGAUGAAAGGGGAAGCUUGGGGACCAGCUGACCUCCAAGGUUCCUUUCAGCUGGAAAAACUGGUUCCAAGGGACACAGGAGUGAAGAGAUGAACUAACUGCCAGACAGGACCUUCAACAAACCGAAAGAGAGCCUCCCAGUCUCAGAGCUGUGGUCCAGCCACUGGGACACUUGCUGAGAUCCCAUCUAAGAUUUAGGGUCAGAGCUGGCAAGCAGAGAUACCAAAGGACACCAGUCUAGGGAAGGACAAACAGUGAGGUUCAGGCCUGGCAGUGAAGAAACCUCAACUGAGCCACAAUUUGCUGUGUGAUCUUAGAUGGGGAGCCUGAGGCCCAGAGAGGGCAAAGACAUGCUCAAAGUUGCACAGCAAGACAGCCAUGGAAGCAAGUUGGAACCCAGGGUUCUUGACUCUUCCCGCUUGGCCUCUUGGGGUGCUGAAACCUCUGUGUUCAGAAGUCCUGCUCCCUUCUGUGCACUAAAGGAUGAGAAUAAAGCACCCUUUGGAUUUCUUCCUGUGGCUUCCAGCCGGACAGGACACCAGAGGCAAGCUGGCCUGGCUGCUUCCUAGCUGUGUGACCCGGGAC